GGUAACGGCCCACCAAGGCGAUGAUCAGUAGCCGGUCUGAGAGGAUGAACGGCCACAUUGGGACUGAGACACGGCCCAGACUCCUACGGGAGGCAGCAGUGGGGAAUCUUCCGCAAUAGACGAAAGUCUGACGGAGCAACGCCGCGUGAGUGAUGACGGCCUUCGGGUUGUAAAGCUCUGUUAAUCGGGACGAAAGGCCUUCUUGCGAAUAGUUAGAAGGAUUGACGGUACCGGAAUAGAAAGCCACGGCUAACUACGUGCCAGCAGCCGCGGUAAUACGUAGGUGGCAAGCGUUGUCCGGAAUUAUUGGGCGUAAAGCGCGCGCAGGCGGAUUGGUCAGUCUGUCUUAAAAGUUCGGGGCUUAACCCCGUGAUGGGAUGGAAACUGCCAAUCUAGAGUAUCGGAGAGGAAAGUGGAAUUCCUAGUGUAGCGGUGAAAUGCGUAGAUAUUAGGAAGAACACCAGUGGCGAAGGCGACUUUCUGGACGA
rnacentral:rRNA from 1 species